rnacentral:rRNA from 1 species
AAUAUUUAAAAUAAUUUUAUAUAAAAGAAUUUUAAUAAAAUAAUAUUAA